UUGUAGUGAACGGUGUCAAUAU
rnacentral:siRNA from 1 species